UUACCAACGUUUGACAUCCCUAUCGCGGAUCGUGGAGACACUUUCCUUCAGUUCGGCUGGAUAGGUGACAGAUGCUGCAUGGCUGUCGUCAGCUCGUGUCGUGAGAUGUUGGGUUAAGUCCCGCAACGAGCGCAACCCUCGCCUUUAGUUGCCAGCAUUUAGUUGGGCACUCUAAAGGAACCGCCAGUGAUAAGCCGGAGGAAGGUGGGGAUGACGUCAAGUCCUCAUGGCCCUUACGCGUUGGGCUACACACGUGCUACAAUGGCGACUACAGUGGGCAGCCACCUCGCGAGAGGGAGCUAAUCUCCAAAAGUCGUCUCAGUUCGGAUCGUUCUCUGCAACUCGAGAGCGUGAAGGCGGAAUCGCUAGUAAUCGCGGAUCAGCAUGCCGCGGUGAAUACGUUCCCAGGCCUUGUACACACCGCCCGUCACACCAUGGGAGUUGGAUUCACUCGAAGGCGUUGAGCUAACCGUAAGGAGGCAGGCGACCACAGUGGGUUUAGCGACCGGGGUGAAGUCGUAACAAGGUAGCCGUAGGGGAACCUGCGGCUGGAUCACCUCCUUA
rnacentral:rRNA from 1 species